UAGCGGUGUGCCUAAUGCAUGCAAGUCGAACGGGAUCCUUAGAUUCGUCUGAGGUGAGAGUGGCGAACGGGUGAGUAACACGUUGGUGACCUACCCCAAAGAGAGGGAUAACUAUUGGAAACGAUGGCUAAUACCUCGGAUGUAUUACUAUUUAGAAAGGUAAUACUAAAGCUCCGGCGCUUUGGGAGGGGCCUGCGGUCCAUCAGCUAGUUGGUAAGGUAAUGGCUUACCAAGGCAAAGACGGAUAGGGGGCGUGAGAGCGUGACCCCCCACACUGGUACUGAGACACGGACCAGAUACCUGCGGGUAGCAGCAGCAAGGAAUAUUGCGCAAUCGACGAAAGUCGGACGCAGCAACACCGCGUGAAGGAUGAAGGCCUUCGGGUCGUAAACUUCUUUUCUGGGGGAAGAGAAAGGACGGUACCCCAGGAAUAAGUCUCGGCUAACUACGUGCCAGCAGCCGCGGUAAAACGUAGGAGGCGAGCGUUAUCCGGAUUUAUUGGGCGUAAAGCGCAUGCAGGCGGUUUACAAAGUCGGACGUGAAAGCUCUUGGCUCAACUGAGAGAGGCCGUUCGAAACUGGUAGACUUGAGGAUGGUAGAGGUGAGUGGAAUUCCAGGUGUAGUGGUGAAAUGCGUAGAUAUCUGGAGGAACACCAGUGGCGAAGCGGCUC
rnacentral:rRNA from 1 species